rnacentral:tRNA from 1 species
GGGAGCGUGGUGAAACCUGGCCAGCAGAAACUCAGCUUUGCUGGGUUCGCUGGGGGAACUAUCAUCGCCGGCUCCAGACCGGCUGGUCUGGGUUCAAAUCCCAGCGUUCCCA